UACAGAGGGUGCAAGCGUUAAUCGGAAUUACUGGGCGUAAAGCGUGCGUAGACGGUUAUGUAAGUCAGAUGUGAAAGCCCCGGGCUCAACCUGGGAAUUGCGCUCGAAACUACGUGGCUCGAGUGUGGCAGAGGAAGGUGGAAUUCCAGGUGUAGCGGUGAAAUGCGUAGAGAUCUGGAAGGAACACCGAUGGCGAAGGCAGCCUUCUGGGCCAACACUGACGCUCAUGCACGGAAAGCGUGGGGAGCAAACAGG
rnacentral:rRNA from 1 species